rnacentral:scRNA from 1 species
GCAGCCGAUCCCGGCCAAGUAGCCCCCCAACCCGGUCC